CCCAAGGACAUGAUCUUCUUUCUGCAAUGAAAAUAGAGGGGCCGAUUCUACAACAAGGUUGACCCUCAAACGUUACGUCAUGUCCACAGGACGAUGUGGCCCAUGAAGAGCCCUUUGGAACUGAGAAACAAACUGUGUGCCCAUAUGUGAAACCACCAAGACCUCCAACACACUUGGCUUUAGAGGCCCCAGGACAUGAAGAGAUAGAUCAGUCGGGGAAAGCGAGGGCGUUUUGAGACACUAUGUAGCCCUGGCUGGCCUGGAACUUGCUCUUUAGACCAGGCUAGCCUCAAACUCACCGAGAUCCAUCAGCCCCUAUCUCCCAAGUCCUGGGAUUACAGCCUUAGGAUCAUGUCUGUAAAACGGUGUGAGGAGAACUCUUGGGUCCCACUCCAUGAUUCCACAAGGACACAGCAGAGGGGAUCCACAGA
rnacentral:lncRNA from 1 species